AUGCCGGCGCCGCUCGCCGCCUCCUGGCGCCGGCAUGCCUCCGCCGCGGCGUCCUCCUCCACUCCACGGACCCUCCUCUUGCUCGUCCCGGUUCUCAUCCUCCUCGUCUUCGUCCUCUCCAGAGCCCCAGAUCUCACCUUCUCCCCCGCCACUGCCGCCUCGCCCCGCCUCCCGGCCCGGCUCCGCCCCUUCGACUGCUACGCCUCGCCGCAGGCCUCCCCGGUCUUGGCCAGCCUCGUGGAGGGCGUGCCCCGCCCCUUCCUCUACUCCCUCGCCGACCUGGGGUCCCUCCCCGACCGCCCGCACCGGAACAUCGCCCGCCUCCUCAAGGGCAAGCGCUUCCGCAAGCCCGACAUCUCCCAGACCAUCCAGGAACUGCUCGCGGGGGAGGUAGGGAGGGGCUCCGGCGGCGGGGUGGUGGUGGACGUCGGGGCCAAUGUUGGGAUGGCGGCCUUCGCGGCGGCCGUGAUGGGGUUCCGGGUGGUGGCAUUCGAGCCGGUCUUCGAGAACCUGCAGCGGAUCUGCGAUGGAGUGUACCUGAACCGGGUGCAGGACCAGGUGGUGGUGUAUCAUGCUGCAGCAUCUGACCGAGCUGGGAACAUCACAAUGCAUAAGGUGAUUGGACGACUCGACAACAGUGCUAUAUCUGCAACUGGUGCGAAGUUAGCAUUCAAAUCUAAUGAAGAAGUUGCUCUUGAGGUUGCUACAAUCCCAUUGGAUGAAGUCAUUCCAGAUGCAGAGCGAGUGGUUCUGAUCAAAAUUGAUGUUCAAGGUUGGGAAUCUCAUGUUCUGAGAGGUGCAUCAAAGUUGCUCUCAAGGAGGAGGGGUGAAGCUCCCUACCUUAUAUACGAAGAGGACGAGCGCCUGCUGCAGGCGAGCAACAGUAGUGCACAAGAGAUAAGGGCAUUUCUUGGCAGUGUUGGUUACAAUCAAUGUACACGGCAUGGGACGGAUGCUCACUGUACAAAAGAAUAG
rnacentral:rRNA from 1 species